CCUUCGAUAGCUCAGUUGGUAGAGCGGAGGACUGUAGCGGAUAACACGGAGAUCCUUAGGUCGCUGGUUCGAAUCCGGCUCGAAGGA
rnacentral:tRNA from 1 species